rnacentral:lncRNA from 1 species
CGUCAGUUCUGGAACCUUGAGCAGCACGUGACCAUUUGCAAUCCAAUUCACAGACAGAGCAAAGUUGUCUUCAUCGUCGAUGAUGCUUUCAAUUGUGGCUGAUGGGGCGCACAGGUAGAGCAUGGAAUGGGUUUCAACAGUGGCUGCCUGCGAUCAUUGGUCGGCGUCAGAAUUUGAAUGAAUUGUGGGACCUGCACGUACCAAGUAGAAUUCAAUAGAUUCCAAACAUUAUUUUUCAUCUUUUAUGGUCUCUGACUACCCGUCAACUGCCACGAUUCUUUCCUAAGCCCACUAGGCAAUAACGAAUGAGUGGGUAGAAACGUGUGAGACUUGCGAACCAUCAGGUCACAAUGGGAAGAGUCUCCGCGUGCCGUAGAUUAUGUGUUGAUCGUAUCCCACUUUUCAAGCUGUACGCAGUUGAAAUUGUAAUAUCCUUUCAGAACACUGUGGCCUUGGUGUAGUACUGCGUUAAUUCUAUCAUGUAGUUAAUGCGAGUUUCUACAUGUAUUGUAUGCUUCUGUUUUAAUUGUAUUCUUAUACCAAUUACUUGUACAGCAUGGUGGAUGCGGUACUCCCUGAUGAACCUUGCUGACACACAGUUUCAUCAACCGUGACACUAAUCUCCAACAGUGAGCUGUGAAGUCAUCCAUCCAUUGUACUGACAUGAAGAAUGUAUUUUGGUGCCAUGGGGAGACUCACAAAGUGUGGGUGACGCGCUUGUUUGACGACUACAGUACCAUUCUCAUAUCAUUCGAAUAUGGUAAGAAACAUCCCUGCAUCAGUGCUCAAUGCGUCGAUGCUCCUGGUGUUGCGCCUGAUGCCUUCGACGACUUCAUCCG